rnacentral:rRNA from 1 species
AGAGUGAACGCUGGCGGCAGGCCUAACACAUGCAAGUCGAACGGCAGCACAGCAGAGCUUGCUCUGUGGGUGGCGAGUGGCGGACGGGUGAGGAAUACGUCGGAAUCUGCCUUUUUGUGGGGGAUAACGUAGGGAAACUUACGCUAAUACCGCAUACGACCUACGGGUGAAAGCGGAGGACCUUCGGGCUUCGCGCAGAAAGAUGAGCCGACGUCGGAUUAGCUAGUUGGAGGGGUAAUGGCCCACCAAGGCGACGAUCCGUAGCUGGUCUGAGAGGAUGAUCAGCCACACUGGGACUGAGACACGGCCCAGACCUCCUACGGGAGGCAGCAGUGGGGAAUAGUUGGACAAUGGGCGCAAGCCUGAUCCAGCCAUCGCGCGUGUGUGAAGAGGCGUUCGGUAGUAAGCUACGUUUGUAACGGAAAGAAAGCAAGUACGGUUAACUACCCGGUUGUACUAGUCGUAACGGUAACCGUAAG